rnacentral:rRNA from 1 species
UACGAAGGGGGGCUAGCGUUGCUCGGAAUCACUGGGCGUAAAGGGUGCGUAGGCGGGUCUUUAAGUCAGGGGUGAAAUCCUGGAGCUCAACUCCAGAACUGCCUUUGAUACUGAGGAUCUUGAGUAUGGGAGAGGUGAGUGGAACUGCGAGUGUAGAGGUGAAAUUCGUAGAUAUUCGCAAGAACACCAGUGGCGAAGGCGGCUCACUGGCCCAUAACUGACGCUGAGGCACGAAAGCGUGGGGAGCAAACAGG